CAGCCGCCGCGGGAAAACGUAGGUGGCAAGCGUUGUCCGGAAUUAUUGGGCGUAAAGGGCUCGCAGGCGGUUUCUUAAGUCUGAUGUGAAAGCCCCCGGCUCAACCGGGGAGGGUCAUUGGAAACUGGGAAACUUGAGUGCAGAAGAGGAGAGUGGAAUUCCACGUGUAGCGGUGAAAUGCGUAGAGAUGUGGAGGAACACCAGUGGCGAAGGCGACUCUCUGGUCUGUAACUGACGCUGAGGAGCGAAAGCGUGGGGAGCAAACAGGAUUAGAUACCCGCGUAGUCCCUGUCUCUUAUAA
rnacentral:rRNA from 1 species